GUUCCGACCCCAGAUUAGAGAAGGAGUUGUCACCGGUGGCAUGCUGGAGGCUUGAGCCUGCAGCAGCAUGGCUCGCCUCACUGUGGCUGGUGGCAGUGAGGUAGAGUACAGCACAGCCAAAGUGGUAGAAAGGUGGCAGAGUAGGUGAGCUAUCCAGGGACUUGUGGCGGGGGGAGAGGGGCAGUGAGCUCAGGGGCCAAGGAUUGGAUGCACUAUCGUGAACUACACUGCCCAAGGCUUUUCUGGCUUUGCCCAUCCAGUUGCUCCGUGCCAGGAGAAGGAGUAGCCACCUGCACAUGCUGGAGGCUGGAGCCAGGGACACCACGGCUUGCCUCGCUGUGGUUGGCGUGGUGGCAGCGAUGGAGACUGCAGAGUGCCAGAGAGGACCUUGGUGCUUGUAGCAUCUACCUACCUCCUGUCGUUGUGAUGAGGACACUUUGAAAACGGGAUGGGAGCUACAUAUGCAAAAGAUGCCAUACAGAUGCUAUAUUAACCUGCAUUAUAGUCCCACAAAUUAAAAUGUAUUCCUUUGAU
rnacentral:lncRNA from 1 species